GUGUGGGCACCCGGGGCUGGGGACAGGGCAGGGCUGGGACAGCGGGAUGGGACAGCAGGGCUGUGGAUGCAGCGUCCAUCCUGUGUCCAUCCCUGUGUCCAUCCCUCUGUCCAUCCUGUGUCCAUCCCUCUGUCCAUCCCUGUCCAUCCCUGUGUCCAUCCUGUGUCCAUCCCUCUGUCCAUCCCUGUGUCCCUCCCUGUCCCCCCCAUGUCCCUCCCUGUCCAUCCCUGUGUCCAUCCUCUGUCCAUCCCUGUGUCCAUCCCUGUCCAUCCUCUGUCCAUCCCUGUGUCCAUCCCUCUGUCCAUCCUGUGUCCAUCCCUGUGUCCAUCCCUGUGUCCAUCCCUGUCCAUCCCUGUGUCCAUCCUGUGUCCAUCCCUCUGUCCAUCCGUGUGUCCAUCCCAGUCCAUCCUCUGUCCAUCCCUGUCCCUCCCUGUCCAUCCCAUCCAUCCUGUGUCCAUCCCUCUGUCCAUCCCUGUCCAUCCCUGUGUCCCUCCCUGUCCCCCCCAUGUCCCUCCCUGUCCAUCCCUGUGUCCAUCCCUCUGUCCAUCCUCUGUCCAUCCCUGUGUCCAUCCCUGUGUCCAUCCCUGUGUCCAUCCCUGUGUCCAUCCCUGUCCAUCCCUGUGUCCAUCCCAAUCCA
rnacentral:lncRNA from 1 species